AAACGUAGGGGGCAAGCGUUGUCCGGAAUUACUGGGCGUAAAGGGCGCGUAGGCGGUGUAAUAAGUCUCGAGGUGAAAACUAUCGGCUCAACCGGUAGCGUGCCUGAGAAACUGUUAGACUUGAGGGCAGGAGAGGGGAGUGGAAUUCCCAGUGUAGCGGUGAAAUGCGUAGAUAUUGGGAGGAACACCAGUGGCGAAGGCGGCUCUCUGGCCUGUUACUGACGCUGAGGCGCGAAAGCGUGGGGAGCGAACGGGAUUAGAUACCCCGGUAGUCCACGCCGUAAACGAUGGGUGCUAGGUGUAGGAGGUAUCGACCCCUUCUGUGCCGUAGUUAACACAAUAAGCACCCCGCCUGGGGAGUACGGCCGCAAGGUUGAA
rnacentral:rRNA from 1 species